rnacentral:lncRNA from 1 species
GACAAUGAGAUUGUUAUGGUAAUGACGACUUGUGAAAAUACAAGAGUCAGCAAAUUCCAAUGGCAGGACAAAAAGUUAAGAUGAUUGGCAAUGGCCCGGGAUGCAGUGAAUGACCUCAGUGUCUUCAUCUUCAAUGUCUGACCAAGCUCUAAGCACUCUUCAGUACCUGCUUCAGCUGCCUUCAUGGUCACUGGAGUGAAUUGUUCUCAUCCGCUCAUUCCAAGAAGUCUUCACAUUCUUGGGAUAGAUGUCAUUCUAGCCUACCAACAGGUUUGAGAUCUAUUGGUUGCCUCAACCUGAUUUAACCCAUCUGUUAAGAUGGUAUUACCAGAGUAUGGCUACUAGAUAUGCUACAGCUUCUUGGAGCCACAGCUCAUUUUGCAGAUGAGGAAACUGAAGCAAAUAGGGUAAAACGACUGCUCUUUACUGGUACAUCUAAGCACAUAGUAGUAGGUAUAAAUACUUAUUCCAUUUCCCCUUUCCCAUUUCACUUACAGUAAGAGAUAAGAUAAUUGGAUACUUUAAUGAAAUGAGGUUAAAUCUCAAUUGAUUAAAUAAACUUCGGUUUGAGAUUCUGUUUUUAGUUUAU